GUUAUUUUCCAGAGAAGAUAUUUGCAGCCUCACCCAAUUGAGGGAUUAGGUAUUGUUGAUUUCUCAGAGGAAUUGGAUGCUUUCAUUAUCUGAAUUUAAUCCAAGACCUCCCAUUCUUUGAAAUACUAGAGAUACAUGGGGAUCAUGGUGUAGAAUAAAGUCUCUUUCAUAUCAACUCCAAUGCCUCACUGCCCGAAACUCACACUAUAUGUGUAUUUCAAUCAAGUGGAAGCUUUGCCAGAGUGGUUGGAUUUAUCACCUUUUUCUUCUCCUCUUUGGGGUGGACACUGAACAAGCUUUAUAUGUGAAUUCUCAGGAUGUUGUUUAUCAGUAAAUGAUCAUCUUAUGCUGUUUGAAGUCUACACCAGAGUGGAUUGCCUUAGAAGAUUAAAAGAUUGCAAGAUAAUUUCAGAUGCACAGCUUCAUUGUUUUCACUGCAAUUCUGUCCUUUCAUUUCAGCCAGUGGCGAGAAUACAGAAAAUUGUUCAAACUGAGUAUAAAGCGUGUGCUUGGACUUCGGAGCCAUUAACUUUGUCCCAUGAGAAAGACAAAUAAGUUUUGAAGAUUGUUAUUGUCGCCUGUUAUUGGCUCCUUGUGGCAUAUGGAAUUGUGCCUGCUAAAGUUUAAGCAGUAAGAAUGAACAGAAACAUUAUAAGUUUGCAUCACCGACUUGAGUUCCAGCCUGGAGCAAAGAGCAGCUGUUGCUUCCGCAACUUGAGCUUUGAGCUCCAUGAAGGAAUACAACCUUCAAUUAAAGAUUGCUCAAAUGAACAAUUGAACUUGCUUUGCAAUUAGAACCAUUAGAAGAUGCAACUGGACUUGUCCAUAUUGGCAGUCCUGUGUUGCAGUUGUUCUAUGUCUUGUUAGAUGUGAGAAGGAUGUGAAAUAAUCUAGAUAAUCUUGACUGUGGACUUCCAAUAUGUAUGCUGUUAAACUUUGUAAUUGAUAUGAGACUUCGAA